rnacentral:rRNA from 1 species
GACGAACCGAGCGAACGUUAUUCGGAAUCACUGGGCUUAAAGGGCGCGUAGGCGGGCGGCCGAGUCCGGGGUGAAAGCCCCCAGCUCAACUGGGGAAGUGCCUCGGAUACUGGUCGUCUUGAGGGAGGUAGGGGCAUGUGGAACUUCCGGUGGAGCGGUGAAAUGCGUUGAUAUCGGAAGGAACGCCGGUGGCGAAAGCGACGUGCUGGAUCUCUUCUGACGCUGAGGCGCGAAAGCUAGGGGAGCAAACGGG